AUACUCCCUAGAGGCAUUACAGAUGUGGCUGCUGUGUCACAUGUGUGUCAGUAGGUGGCAGAGUGGAGAAAGGCUAUGUCUAUGCUUCAUGUUCUAGUCUAUGACCAUGUGCACCUGAGACCACUACCAGU
rnacentral:snoRNA from 1 species